GAUGAACGCUGGCGGCGUGCCUAAUACAUGCAAGUCGAGCGAACGGACGAGAAGCUUGCUUUUCUGAUGUUAGCGGCGGACGGGUGAGUAACACGUGGAUAACCUACCUAUAAGACUGGGAUAACUUCGGGAAACCGGAGCUAAUACCGGAUAAUAUUUUGAACCGCAUGGUUCAAUAGUGAAAGACGGUCUUGCUGUCACUUAUAGAUGGAUCCGCGCUGCAUUAGCUAGUUGGUAAGGUAACGGCUUACCAAGGCAACGAUGCUUAGCCGACCUGAGGGGUGGAUCGGCACCACUGGACCUGAGAAAGGGUCCAACCUCCAACGGGAGCAAGAAGUAGGGAAUCUUCCGCAAUGGGCGAAAGCCUAACGGAGCAACGCGGCGUGAGUGAUGAAGGUCUUCGGAUCGUAAAACUCUGUUAUUAGGGAAGAACAUAUGUGUAAGUAACGGUGCGCAUCUUGACGGUACCAAACCAGAAAGCCACGGCUAACUACGU
rnacentral:rRNA from 1 species